CGGGACAGAAUUUCUAUAAUAUACCAGUCGUAGCAGAUGAAGAAAUAUCAGUGACACAUUCAUGGAGCCAAGAUAUAGUUGAAAAGAGCAAUUCUAUGUAGAGAAAAUGGACACGCAAAAGACCAAGAGAAGAGAAGAAGGUGGUUACAGCUAUUGCAAACAUGAAGUGGAAAACGCAAGUUCUAAAAAUUGGAAAGGUAUGUCUAGCACAAUCGGUGAAGAUGUUACAGACAAACAGACGUCUCAAGCGAUCAACAAGGAACAAGAGAUUGUCAUCACAUCUCACAAGUAAAGCAACACGUGCAAUGAAAGCUUUGAGAACACGGA